rnacentral:sRNA from 1 species
UUUUGUUUGAAAUCCAAGAGGUUCUGCGCUGAAGCCCGUAAUCCCUCUAGGCCAGAAACCACAUCAUGUAAUAUUAGUUUCGUCCCAAACAUCACUCGAACCGGCCCAAGCAUGUAAUAUACUAUAUCAAUUUUAAUAAUACAAAUUAGACAUGUUAUUUUUAGGAUAUUGAAUUUUUAUUACAUGUUU